GCCGGCUGAAAUGGUACAGCAUCAGAUUGUGGAUCUGGAGGUCCCCCGUUCGAUCCGGGGAGGCGGUACCA
rnacentral:tRNA from 1 species